rnacentral:rRNA from 1 species
AUUGAACGCUGGCGGCAGGCCUAACACAUGCAAGUCGAACGGUAACAGGAAGAAGCUUGCUUCUUUGCUGACGAGUGGCGGACGGGUGAGUAAUGUCUGGGAAACUGCCUGAUGGAGGGGGAUAACUACUGGAAACGGUAGCUAAUACCGCAUAACGUCGCAAGACCAAAAAGGGGGACCUUCGGGCCUCUUGCCAUCGGAUGUGCCCAGAUGGGAUUAGCUAGUAGGUGGGGUAACGGCUCACCUAGGCGACAAUCCCUAGCUGGUCUGAGAGGAUGACCAGCCACACUGGAACUGAGACACGGUCCAGACUCCUACGGGAGGCAGCAGUGGGGAAUAUUGCACAAUGGGCGCAAGCCUGAUGCAGCCAUGCCGCGUGUAUGAAGAAGGCCUUCGGGUUGUAAAGUACUUUCAGCGGGGAGGAAGGGAGUAAAGUUAAUACCUUUGCUCAUUGACGUUACCCGCAGAAGAAGCACCGGCUAACUCCGUG